rnacentral:rRNA from 1 species
AAUAGAUACCCGGGUAGUCCACGCCGUAAACGUUGGAUACUAGGUGUGGCGGUUAUACCAAUGACUGCCGUGCCGAAGCUAACGCAUUAAGUAUCCCGCCUGGGGAGUACGGCCGCAAGGCUAAAACUCAAAGGAAUUGACGGGUCCCCGCACAAGCGGCGGAGCAUGCGGCUUAAUUCGAUGCAACCCGAAGAACCUUACCUGGGCUUGACAUCACGGGAAAAGCUGUAGAAAUACAGUGUCCAUUAGGGCCCGUGACAGGUGGUGCAUGGCUGUCGUCAGCUCGUGUCGUGAGAUGUUGGGUUAAGUCCCGCAACGAGCGCAACCCUUGUCCUAUGUUGCCAGCGGUUCGGCCGGGGACUCAUAGGAGACUGCCGGGGAUAACUCGGAGGAAGGUGAGGACGACGUCAAGUCAUCAUGCCCCUUAUAUCCAGGGCUGCACGCAUGCUACAAUGGCCGGUACAACGGGCAGCGACCCCGCGAGGGUGAGCGAAUCCUAAAAAGCCGGUCCUAGUUCGGAUUGAAGUCUGCAACUCGACUU